rnacentral:rRNA from 1 species
GGGUUGUGAGGUUAAGCGACUAAGCGUACACGGUGGAUGCCCUGGCAGUCAGAGGCGAUGAAGGACGUGCUAAUCUGCGAUAAGCGUCGGUAAGGUGAUAUGAACCGUUAUAACCGGCGAUUUCCGAAUGGGGAAACCCAGUGUGAUUCGUCACACUAUCAUUAACUGAAUCCAUAGGUUAAUGAGGCGAACCGGGGGAACUGAAACAUCUAAGUACCCCGAGGAAAAGAAAUCAACCGAGAUUCCCCCAGUAGCGGCGAGCGAACGGGGAGGAGCCCAGAGCCUGAAUCAGUGUGUGUGUUAGUGGAAGCGUCUGGAAAGGCGCGCGAUACAGGGUGACAGCCCCGUACACAAAAAUGCACAUACUGUGAGCUCGAUGAGUAGGGCGGGACACGUGGUAUCCUGUCUGAAUAUGGGGGGACCAUCCUCCAAGGCUAAAUACUCCUGACUGACCGAUAGUGAACCAGUACCGUGAGGGAAAGGCGAAAAGAACCCCGGCGAGGGGAGUGAAAAAGAACCUGAAACCGUGUACGUACAAGCAGUGGGAGCCUCUUUUAUGGGGUGACUGCGUACCUUUUGUAUAAUGGGUCAGCGACUUAUAUUCUGUAGCAAGGUUAACCGAAUAGGGGAGCCGAAGGGAAACCGAGUCUUAACCGGGCGUUAAGUUGCAGGGUAUAGACCCGAAACCCGGUGAUCUAGCCAUGGGCAGGUUGAAGGUUGGGUAACACUAACUGGAGGACCGAACCGACUAAUGUUGAAAAAUUAGCGGAUGACUUGUGGCUGGGGGUGAAAGGCCAAUCAAACCGGGAGAUAGCUGGUUCUCCCCGAAAGCUAUUUAGGUAGCGCCUCGUGAAUUCAUCUCCGGGGGUAGAGCACUGUUUCGGCAAGGGGGUCAUCCCGACUUACCAACCCGAUGCAAACUGCGAAUACCGGAGAAUGUUAUCACGGGAGACACACGGCGGGUGCUAACGUCCGUCGUGAAGAGGGAAACAACCCAGACCGCCAGCUAAGGUCCCAAAGUCAUGGUUAAGUGGGAAACGAUGUGGGAAGGCCCAGACAGCCAGGAUGUUGGCUUAGAAGCAGCCAUCAUUUAAAGAAAGCGUAAUAGCUCACUGGUCGAGUCGGCCUGCGCGGAAGAUGUAACGGGGCUAAACCAUGCACCGAAGCUGCGGCAGCGACACUGUGUGUUGUUGGGUAGGGGAGCGUUCUGUAAGCCUGUGAAGGUGUACUGUGAGGUAUGCUGGAGGUAUCAGAAGUGCGAAUGCUGACAUAAGUAACGAUAAAGCGGGUGAAAAGCCCGCUCGCCGGAAGACCAAGGGUUCCUGUCCAACGUUAAUCGGGGCAGGGUGAGUCGACCCUAAGGCGAGGCCGAAAGGCGUAGUCGAUGGGAAACAGGUUAAUAUUCCUGUACUUGGUGUUACUGCGAAGGGGGACGGAGAAGGCUAUGUUGGCCGGGCGACGGUUGUCCCGGUUUAAGCGUGUAGGCUGGUUUUCCAGGCAAAUCCGGAAAAUCAAGGCUGAGGCGUGAUGACGAGGCACUACGGUGCUGAAGCAACAAAUGCCCUGCUUCCAGGAAAAGCCUCUAAGCAUCAGGUAACAUCAAAUCGUACCCCAAACCGACACAGGUGGUCAGGUAGAGAAUACCAAGGCGCUUGAGAGAACUCGGGUGAAGGAACUAGGCAAAAUGGUGCCGUAACUUCGGGAGAAGGCACGCUGAUAUGUAGGUGAAGUCCCUCGCGGAUGGAGCUGAAAUCAGUCGAAGAUACCAGCUGGCUGCAACUGUUUAUUAAAAACACAGCACUGUGCAAACACGAAAGUGGACGUAUACGGUGUGACGCCUGCCCGGUGCCGGAAGGUUAAUUGAUGGGGUCAGCGCAAGCGAAGCUCUUGAUCGAAGCCCCGGUAAACGGCGGCCGUAACUAUAACGGUCCUAAGGUAGCGAAAUUCCUUGUCGGGUAAGUUCCGACCUGCACGAAUGGCGUAAUGAUGGCCAGGCUGUCUCCACCCGAGACUCAGUGAAAUUGAACUCGCUGUGAAGAUGCAGUGUACCCGCGGCAAGACGGAAAGACCCCGUGAACCUUUACUAUAGCUUGACACUGAACAUUGAGCCUUGAUGUGUAGGAUAGGUGGGAGGCUUUGAAGUGUGGACGCCAGUCUGCAUGGAGCCGACCUUGAAAUACCACCCUUUAAUGUUUGAUGUUCUAACGUGGACCCGUGAUCCGGGUUGCGGACAGUGUCUGGUGGGUAGUUUGACUGGGGCGGUCUCCUCCUAAAGAGUAACGGAGGAGCACGAAGGUUGGCUAAUCCUGGUCGGACAUCAGGAGGUUAGUGCAAUGGCAUAAGCCAGCUUGACUGCGAGCGUGACGGCGCGAGCAGGUGCGAAAGCAGGUCAUAGUGAUCCGGUGGUUCUGAAUGGAAGGGCCAUCGCUCAACGGAUAAAAGGUACUCCGGGGAUAACAGGCUGAUACCGCCCAAGAGUUCAUAUCGACGGCGGUGUUUGGCACCUCGAUGUCGGCUCAUCACAUCCUGGGGCUGAAGUAGGUCCCAAGGGUAUGGCUGUUCGCCAUUUAAAGUGGUACGCGAGCUGGGUUUAGAACGUCGUGAGACAGUUCGGUCCCUAUCUGCCGUGGGCGCUGGAGAACUGAGGGGGGCUGCUCCUAGUACGAGAGGACCGGAGUGGACGCAUCACUGGUGUUCGGGUUGUCAUGCCAAUGGCACUGCCCGGUAGCUAAAUGCGGAAGAGAUAAGUGCUGAAAGCAUCUAAGCACGAAACUUGCCCCGAGAUGAGUUCUCCCUGACCCUUUAAGGGUCCUGAAGGAACGUUGAAGACGACGACGUUGAUAGGCCGGGUGUGUAAGCGCAGCGAUGCGUUGAGCUAACCGGUACUAAUGAACCGUGAGGCUUAACCUUACAACGCCGAAGGUGUUU